rnacentral:lncRNA from 1 species
CUUUUAAAAACCUUGCGGUGAGGCAUGGUUUCUGACAUCAGAAAAAAAAGUGAAGUAUAGGCCACUGGACGUUAAGCAACCAAGUAUUAAACCUCACCUUUCCGUGAAGUGUUUACAAUUAUUUGUAUUUUUAAAAUAAAAAAAAAAAAAAAAAGGAUAAACAUUUCCAAAAACUGAAAAUAUUUGAGAAGACGCUAUUACCUUAGAAGUAAAAAAUUUACCAGACAGAAUAAACACGGCAGAAACAAACAAACGAAAAAAAACCAAGAGAAC